rnacentral:tRNA from 1 species
GGGGCUGUCGGCUAGCUUGGUCUAGGCUAGGAGACUUGGGCUCUCCGGACCCCGGUUCAAAUCCGGGCAGCCCCACCA